AGGGGUGUAGCUCAAUGGUAGAGUGUGUGCUUAGCAUGCUUGAGGUCCGGGGUUCAAUCCCCAGUACCUCCA
rnacentral:tRNA from 1 species